rnacentral:tRNA from 1 species
GCCGAAGUGGCGGAAUUGGCAGACGCGCACGACUCAAAAUCGUGUACCUUUGGGUGUGUGGGUUCGACUCCCACCUUCGGCA